rnacentral:rRNA from 1 species
UACGGAGGGGGCGAGCGUUAUUCGGAAUUACUGGGCGUAAAGCGCGCGUAGGCGGAUCUGCAAGUCGGGGGUGAAAUCCCGAGGCUCAACCUCGGAACUGCCUUCGAUACUGCGGGUCUCGAGUCCGGGAGAGGUGAGUGGAAUUCCUAGUGUAGAGGUGAAAUUCGUAGAUAUUAGGAAGAACACCAGUGGCGAAGGCGGCUCACUGGCCCGGUACUGACGCUGAGGCACGAAAGCGUGGGGAGCAAACAGG